UAGUCCACGCCGUAAACGAUGGAUACUAGCUGUCCGGUGUCUUGAACACUGGGCGGCCAAGCGAAAGUGAUAAGUAUCCCACCUGGGGAGUACGUUCGCAAGAAUGAAACUCAAAGGAAUUGACGGGGGCCCGCACAAGCGGUGGAGCAUGUGGUUUAAUUCGAUGAUACGCGAGGAACCUUACCAGGGCUUAAAUGCAUAUUGACAGGGCCAGAGAUGGCUUUUCCUUCGGGCAAUUUGCAAGGUGCCGCAUGGUUGUCGUCAGCUCGUGCCGUGAGGUGUCAGGUUAAGUCCUAUAACGAGCGCAACCCCUGCCGUUAGUUGCCAGCAUGUCAAGAUGGGGACUCUAACGGGACUGCCGGUGCAAACCGCGAGGAAGGUGGGGAUGACGUCAAAUCAUCACGGGCCCUUACGUCCUGGGGCCCACACACGUGCUACAAUGGGCCGGUACAGAGAGCAGCCAUGUCGCAAGGGCAGGAGCGAAUCUAUAAAACCGGGUC
rnacentral:rRNA from 1 species